rnacentral:rRNA from 1 species
UACGUAGGUGGCAAGCGUUGUCCGGAAUUAUUGGGCGUAAAGCGCGCGCAGGCGGCCUUUUAAGUCUGAUGUGAAAGCCCACGGCUCAACCGUGGAAGGUCAUUGGAAACUGAAAGGCUUGAGUACAGAAGAGGAAAGCGGAAUUCCACGUGUAGCGGUGAAAUGCGCAGAUAUCGGGAGGAACACCGGUGGCGAAGGCGGUUCUCUGGCCCGGUACUGACGCUGAGGUGCGAAAGCGUGGGGAGCAAACAGG